CUAUCAAAAUAGAAUCAUCUGAAUGAUCUUUCUUGGACAUACAUUUUGAAGUGACCCUUCGAAUUAAAAAGGUUCCUCAGCUGCUUUUGAGGAAAAACAUCAAUGUGCUUGGCCACUCUGGUUUUUAAAUGGUAUUCUGAACUAAAGCAAGGAUUGUUCAAGUUAGUUGAAAAUAGACCGUCUCUGGUUAAAUUAGUUCUACACCAAGCCUUUAGGUGGCAGUAAAACGAAUUGGCACAAUGCGAAUUCCACACACAAGCCACAAAGAAAGAAGCCAUCAGCCGCGGUCAACAGCACCUUCCUGAUUGAACAGAACCACGCGUUGUCUGUGUGGUUUACAAGUUUCUUGGCGAUAUGGGGGGAAAGUUCCUCACAUACCAACGGAAAAUGGGCUUCAUAUACAUGCUGCUGUCUCAUAAUAUGGCGAAGACAAAGGCCUAACUCGCCAUAGAAGACUGAAAGAAUUGUCCUGCAGGAUGCUGUGUCCUGCAAUCCUGUGUGCUGUGCUACAGACGCGUGUGGAGGUCAACCCAAAAUGGGCACAGUCUCACCACAGAAGAGUGAAAGAGGAUCCUGGCAGGGAGACGGUAGUGUCCUGCAGAAUGGUGAUGGGCCAAUCUUACAAGAGACCACAGAAAACUGAUAUAGUGAACUAUAGAAACAACAGUGCCUGCUGCAGUAUAACGAGGACACCCUGAGCAGAGAGCUCCAAUAGACCCAGGUCCAGUGUCUUGGCAGGGUGAAAUGGCACUGAUAUGGUGUCCUGCAGGAUGCUGUGUCCUGCAAUCCUGUGUGCUGUGCUACAGACGCGUGUGGAGGUCAACCCAAAAUGGGCACAGUCUCACCACAGAAGAGUGAAAGAGGCUCCCAGAAGUGAGACUGAGUGCCUGUUGCAGUAUGACGAGGACGCAGUGACCAGAGACCUUCAGUAGACCCUGCUGGCAUGAUUGGCGUCUGAAGAACAUGAAAUCAACAGCAAUGUUUAUAAUGUUGUACAUACCUGUAUAGUCUGUAUUAAAAGGCAGUACCUGUA